UUGACCUCGGAUCAGGUAGGAAUACCCGCUGAACUUAAGCAUAUCAAUAAGGCGGAGGAAUUCCACUCCCCGGGGA
rnacentral:rRNA from 1 species